AUUGAACGCUGGCGGCAGGCCUAACACAUGCCAGUCGAGCGGAAGCAGGGCGCUGGCUCCUGGAUACAGGGGAGGAGGGGAGUGCUAUGCCUAGACAUAUCUCGGGUUGUGGGGUAUAACGUCGGGAAACGGGCGCAAAUACCGUAAAAGCCCAGAGGGAGAACGGGGGGGAUCCGGGGAUCUCACGCCUUCAGAGGAGUCUAGGUCGGAUUAGCUAGUUGGUGGGGUAAAGGCCUACCAAGGCGACGAUCCGUAGCUGGUCUGAGAGGAUGAUCAGUCACACUGGAACUGAGACACGGUCCAGACUCCUACGGGAGGCAGCAGUGGGGAAUAUUGGACAAUGGGCGAAAGCCUGAUCCAGCCAUGCCGCGUGUGUGAAGAAGGUCUUCGGGUUGUAAAGCGCUUUUGGUUGGAAGGAAAAGCAGUAAGUUAAUACCUUGCUGUUUUGACGGUACCAAAAGAAUAAGCACCGGCUAACUUCGUG
rnacentral:rRNA from 1 species